rnacentral:rRNA from 1 species
AACCUGUCCCCGAGCCUGGGAUAACCUGUCGAAAGGCGGGCUAAUACCGGAUAUGGCCGUAGGAGCACCAGCUCUAGCGGUAAAAGGUGGCCUCUGCUUGCAAGCUACCACUGGGGGAGGGGCCUGCGGGCCAUUAGCUAGUUGGUGAGGUAAUGGCUCACCAAGGCGAAGAUGGCUAGCUGGUCUGAGAGGAUGGCCAGCCACACUGGGACUGAAACACGGCCCAG